AGAGUUUGAUCAUGGCUCAGGACGUACGCUGGCGGCGUGCCUAAUACAUGCAAGUCGAGCGGACCGAACGAGAGCUUGCUCUUGUUCGGUCAGCGGCGGACGGGUGAGUAACACGUGGGCAACCUGCCCGCAAGACCGGGAUAACUCCGGGAAACCGGAGCUAAUACCGGAUAACACCAAAGACCGCAUGGUCUUUGGUUGAAAGGCGGCUUCGGCUGCCACUUGCGGAUGGGCCCGCGGCGCAUUAGCUAGUUGGUGAGGUAACGGCUCACCAAGGCGACGAUGCGUAGCCGGCCUGAGAGGGUGACCGGCCACACUGGGACUGAGACACGGCCCAGACUCCUACGGGAGGCAGCAGUAGGGAAUCUUCCGCAAUGGACGAAAGUCUGACGGAGCGACGCCGCGUGAGCGAAGAAGGCCUUCGGGUCGUAAAGCUCUGUUGUGAGGGACGAAGGAGCGCCGUUGAAUAAGG
rnacentral:rRNA from 1 species